UAGGGAAUCUUCGGCAAUGGACGAAAGUCUGACCGAGCAACGCCGCGUGAGUGAGAAGGUUUUCGGAUCGUAAAACUCUGUUGUUAGAGAAGAACAAGGACGUUAGUAACUGAACGUCCCCUGACGGUAUCUAACCAGAAAGCCACGGCUAACUACGUGCCAGCAGCCGCGGUAAUACGUAGGUGGCAAGCGUUGUCCGGAUUUAUUGGGCGUAAAGCGAGCGCAGGCGGUUUCUUAAGUCUGAUGUGAAAGCCCCCGGCUCAACCGGGGAGGGUCAUUGGAAACUGGGAGACUUGAGUGCAGAAGAGGAGAGUGGAAUUCCAUGUGUAGCGGUGAAAUGCGUAGAUAUAUGGAGGAACACCAGUGGCGAAGGCGGCUCUCUGGUCUGUAACUGACGCUGAGGCUCGAAAGCGUGGGGAGCAAACAGG
rnacentral:rRNA from 1 species